UGUCACUCCCUCUUCCACAGCCACUCAUUUCACUGUGAGGGACGAUUCCGACCAGGAGAAAUCUACCGUUCAGGUCCGUCGCCGGCGGCAAGACCGGAGCUGUAUAGCGCCGUCCAUCUCUGACGCGCUUCGCCGCCCAGAGCUGUCACGGCUAGCGCCACCCGUCUCCGGCGCGCUUCGCCGCCAUGAGCCGCGGGGUUCGAAGGCAGUAAGACAGAAAUCGCCGCCGCUCGCCUCCGGCACGCUGCGCGUGGCCUGGGGUCGUUGUAUUGGCUGGAGGCAAGAUGGGAUCCAUCACGGCUAGCUCUGUUCGCCUAAGGCGCGCUGCGCCACGCCUGGCCGUGGACUUGGCCGGCGGCAAGACGGGGGCCAUCGCGGCUAGUGUCGCUCGCCUCCGGCACACCCAAGGCCAGCCCAAGGUUGUGGCUGACCCGCUCCCUGUGAGGUGGUGGCACGGUGGAACUGCAGCGCGUGCAGCCGGUGGCUGAGAUUCCGUGGGAGUUUGCGUGAUCACAGUGGAAGAUGCUAACUCGAUGCAAACUCAACAGGCAAAGGUAUUGAAGAAUGGCACCUGUGUCUCCUUGGAUUGACUGCAUACGCUUUGAUCGGAGAUAAUUUUUAUAAUCCUUUUGACCAAAGCUAAGACAUCGUCUACCCCCUACUUGUCUACUCAUCACUUCAUGACCAGAUUUUGGUCUAAUACCUGAAUCGUUCAAUAUGUCAAUCUGGGCCUUCUGAGCUUCUGUAAUUCUUCUUUGGGAUCGCAGUAGAUGGGCUUUGCUUGGAGUUACAAGUUCAUGAUUAUGAGCAUCCUCAAAGCUGCUUACAACAUACUUUCCAUUACCACUUAUUUUGAUGGUCAUCUCUGCCAUACACCCAACUCUUGUAUCUGCUCGCUUCCGCUGGCAUUGUUCCUUGCUCUUGUCCUUGAAACCUGCCUUUGAGCAUACAAAUUUCUUUGUUCGAAUAACAUUCGUUGAGGAUUUAUCAUGCCAAAAUUUCCUGACACUGAAACCAACAUGUCCUGCAUAUGCAUUAUAAAACUCAUAUGCUAUAUCUUCAUUCUCAAAUUCCAUUCCUAUCUCUGGUUUUAACCUUUUGCUGUAAUCAUCAUCUGUGUUUCGACCUGCCUCUCCCACAUCUGUGGUGUCAUGAUCUACACAACAUAAAAAAUAUAAUAUACUAAUUAGUUCACGGGCGACACAUGGAGUAAAAGAUAACACGAUAUUCACAGUCCUGGUUUUAGUGAAACCUGAAAAGCGCUUAUAGAUAGAACAAUGCUUUUUGGAAAAGGACACAUGGUAUUCACGGGGCAUUCGAAAAAUAUUGAUCUUUUUCUUUGAUACAGUCAUCUCUAUCAUUAGAGUUAGCAAAAAGAGAAUAUGUCAAAGGAGAAAUCUCAGGCAGUAAAAUUUAUAAUAAACUUAGGUGGUACUCUGAUGCAUAAUGUACGCAACAUCGUAGGAGUAAUCAUCACUAACGGAAUUAUAAUGCAAUUCCGAAGGAUUAAUUUGCAUGUGUUUCAAAGAAACAGGGCUACGGAAGAUGAAAUACUGGGAGUAAUUUGCAUGUCAUACAUUCAACUCUUUGUUUAUUUGUUUCUUUCAAUCUUAUCAGCUUCGUAUGAUCAAGAGUGUUGACAAUCUGUACAUUCCAGGCGCAAGAACAUACCUAAGGACGAUGAAUUGGCAGGAGCUCCGUCCAUGCUGAAGAACACCGUAGAUGUUGAUCCACGGAGAGGACAAUUUCCUAUCAAUCUUGAUCUAUUCUCCUUUGAUCCGGGGGCAACAACAAUGGAAUAGAUUGGUACGAGAAAGGACGGAUGAAGCCAUGAAGAGAUUUUGGCGGCAAUCUGUUGUUACGCGGGAGAUAAACCUGUCGUUUUGCUGAUUUUCUGGAACUUAACUACAAUUAUAGAGAUACGCUGGGUUGUUUAAGUGGUGGGGCCCUACCAGGACAGGUGUCGGACAUCCGUUGGCCCUGCACGAUAGUGCGUACUGGGAACCCUGCAGGAGAGCCCGACCCCGCUUGGUGCCGUUUCUUCGUGGGGUUACCGGUUUCUUCUCUCUCCUCUUUAACUAAGACGCCACGUCAGAUUUUGGCUUACGUGGACGGCUAAGCACCGAUA